AAAAGCACAAAGGACAGUGCUGAGAACUGGCUGGAUCACACUGUCAGCCAAGAAAAGGAAGGACGAAUGAGGCUGAAGAGACUGCAGGGCUGCAGAUGAAAUAUCCAGACCUAUGCAUCCUCAUGUGGAUGAGUGGGUUCCGGCAAAAUUUAAGAGGCUAAUGAUGGGAUGGAGGGGUUGGCAGCAGCACAGCAUAGUAGAAUUUUCUGAUUCACUACCACUGCUGGUGUUACAGCGUGAACGUGACCUGAAGACAAAAAGGCAUGGGUGAAUCCAACUAUGCAAGUUUUCUGGAUCAGUCCUAAACAGCUGGCUGAGCAGUGCUGGAAGGAGUCACACAAAAGGGGUGUAUUACACUACAAAUCCACGUUCAUAAACUUCAAGUGGGGCCACACCACGGUUCAGCAAUCCUGCCACUUUUCACAGAUCUAAGUACAAAGUGGUUUCAAACUCUCCACCCUGCAACCCUCUGACCCACAGUACUCCUGUUUCAGCAAAUGAUUUUGUUUUCUCCUUCCGAAGGAAAAAGUAGCCUCCAGAUGUAACUCUUUCAUCUUCCUGCUACCAAAAAUAAAAACUUACCAACA
rnacentral:antisense_RNA from 1 species